GACGAACGCUGGCGGCGUGCUUAACACAUGCAAGUCGAACGGUAAGGCCCUUCGGGGUAUACGAGUGGCGAACGGGUGAGUAACACGUGGGUGAUCUGCCCUGCACUUCGGGAUAAGCCUGGGAAACUGGGUCUAAUACCGGAUAGGACCACUGCCUGCAUGGGUGGUGGUGGAAAGCUGUUGCGGUGUGGGAUGGGCCCGCGGCCUAUCAGCUUGUUGGUGGGGUGAUGGCCUACCAAGGCGACGACGGGUAGCCGGCCUGAGAGGGUGACCGGCCACACUGGGACUGAGAUACGGCCCAGACUCCUACGGGAGGCAGCAGUGGGGAAUAUUGCACAAUGGGCGCAAGCCUGAUGCAGCGACGCCGCGUGAGGGAUGACGGCCUUCGGGUUGUAAACCUCUUUCAGCACCGACGAAGCGCAAGUGACGGUAGGUGCAGAAGAAGGACCGGCCAACUACGUGCCAGCCGCCGCAGUAACAC
rnacentral:rRNA from 1 species